CUGGAGGACAGGAGAUUAAAGUCUUUUUAGAAAUUUCCAAGUCAGAUCUCAACUAAAAUAGGAUUAAAGGGAUGGGGGGGGGGAGAAAAUUGCUUGUCCCCUCCUUUCCCGUUCUCCCAAAGGAGCUGAAAGAAAUCGGAAGUUACUUCUCAAAGCUGUCCCCGUCUGUCUGUCCCCCGGCCUGGCCAGUGGGAGACCCUCUAAAGCCUCCUCCUUCCACAGUAAGAAGCACAAAGACGAUGGGAAGGAGCCGCAGGGUGGCCCUUGGGGUCCCUUCCAGGUGCUACUCCAGGGGGCACUGUGACAUCAAGAACUUUCCCAGCCGCUGCAGCUGGGCCGAUCGGUCAGAGAGAACAAAUCUCCAGGGCUGCAACCAUUUUCUCCUCGGAUGUCCCUAGC
rnacentral:lncRNA from 1 species